UACGUAGGGUGCAAGCGUUAAUCGGAAUUACUGGGCGUAAAGCGUGCGCAGGCGGUUGUGCAAGACAGAUGUGAAAUCCCCGGGCUUAACCUGGGAAUUGCAUUUGUGACUGCACGGCUAGAGUGUGUCAGAGGGGGGUAGAAUUCCACGUGUAGCAGUGAAAUGCGUAGAUAUGUGGAGGAAUACCGGUGGCGAAGGCAGCCUGCUGGGCAGUUGCUGACACUGAGGCGCGACAGCGUGGGGAGCAAACAGG
rnacentral:rRNA from 1 species